GGGGGGAGUAUCUGGAAGCGGGGUAACGGCACUGGGCUCGCACGUGGAGGUGGAGUGCGGACGCGCCCCAAAGCUAGAGGACGCUGAAGGAACUGGAUACCCAAAGCCUCUCAUCUCCUUCCUGCACUGAAAUGAAAGGUAAAUAUCAGUGGUUCUCAAAGUGUGGUUCCUGGACCACAGCACUGCCAUUCCCUGGGAACUUUUAGCAAUGCAGAUGCUCAAGCCCCACCUCAGACCUACUGAAGCUGAAACUCUGGAGCUGGACCAGUGAUUUAACAAACCCUCCAGGCGGGCAGCAAAUGGUGACAGCUGUACCAGGCAUCACAUCCAAAUGCCACGUCAUCCAGAGGCAGCAGAUAGGGGCUGUCUCUCCUACAGUCUACUUCUCAGAGUCUGAAGGAGCUUGGAAUCAGAUCCUUCCCUAGUCAAGCCUCUGAUGAGACCACAGCCUCUGUCAAUACCUAGAUGGCAGCCUUAUGAGACUCUGAGCUUAGCUGUGCUUGGACUUCUGACCUACAGAGACUGUGAGAAAAAAAUGUAUGUUAUUUUGAGCUUCUAAGUUUUGGGCGAUUUGUUAUCCAGUGAUAAAAAAAAAAACAAGUAAUACACUUAUUUUGACCACGGCCUAUCACUGUAGUUUUCAAGGCUUUCUUUUAGCUGUGGAGACCUCUGGUUAAGCAAAAUCAUCCUUGGAAACCCAAUACAUAGGAGAAAAUAAAAGUAGAACUGCUUCAUUUUUAGCCAGGUAGAGGGCAUGGAGCCCUUACCAGCUGGGCUCUCCUGGAUUUAUAGUGACCCAAAAGGAAACUCUGUAAGAACAGUCUGAAAACCAGAAGGUGAAUUGAAGAGAGCACAUAAGGUUACUGAUCCACCUUCACUCUUCAGGCUGCAGGGAAGAGAUGUACGCAGGUGACCUUCCAAGAUGGAGUACAGUGGAGGCUGUUGAUGCACUACCCAGAAUCCUUAAAUUUCUUUACUAUGUCUGGUCACUCCUCCCCUGGCUUCAGCGUGCUUUUGCCUUCAAUAGUCUGUACAUGUAACUCUUUUUCUUAGAACUCUCUUUGGGCUGCUAGAGCUGCUUUGCCUAGGAUCACAAGUAGGAGGUACCCAGGAGUUUAGGUCUCCUGCUGAGUCCUUUGACAAGGGACUGAUUGGUGGGGGGCUUUGAAAACCAGCCUCCCUCACCUGGAGUUGAGACAACCUCUGAAGUAUAACUUAUACUCCAGAAUUUGCCAUCUGGGUGAAGCUUAAGCUGCCCUCUGCAGACUACUGAAAUCAUUCCCGGUUUUCCCCGUUUCCCUAUCCUGUCCUCCACUUCCUACCAGCUUUUCGGCAAUAAUUGCUUUGCACAUUAAUCCUCAUAUCAAUGUCUGUUUCUGGGGAACCCCACUUGAGACAUGGGAGUUUCCUGAGAGGAUAUAUGAGCAACUGUUUUAUCUUAACAUCUCUGGGGCUCAGUAUCUCUAAGUCCUUUUUGGUCACAUUUCAGUCUGGACUCCAGUACCCUGCCUGGUCCUUGCAUUUAAUUCUUAUUACACAUGUAAUUAGUACAUAUUCUUAUUAUGUACAUAAUUAAACUUUUUUCGAAGCCAUAGUUUAAAUACUAAUAACAUUUUAUUUAACAAAGUAAAUAAAAUAUUAUUUUAACAUGUAACCAAUAUUAAAAAUAUUAAUGAGGGGUGCCUGGGUGGCUCAGUCGGUCAGGCAUCCUACUCUUGAUUUUGGCUCAGGUCAUGACCUCAGGGUUCGUGAGAUCAAGCCCUACAUUGGGCUCUGAGCUAACAGCUCAGAGCCUGCUUGGGAUUUUCUCUCUCUGUCCUGCCCAC